rnacentral:lncRNA from 1 species
GCCGGGAUUUCGGGAUCAGGACCCCUCCUACCUCAAAUGGUAGCUCCCUCCGACAAUAAAAUUUUAACAAAAUAAAUAAGAAUCCCUGGACAAUUACACAAUUCUUAUGUUUGUAGAUCUUCUUAUCAAAUUGAUUAAAUCAAAACUGAAUUGACUCCACAAUACUUUUUUUUUAAACAAAACAUGAGGUUUGAUUUUUAAGGAAAUACACUAUGGCCUUAGUAAUACAUGUAGUAAUGUAAAAAAGAUUACGAAUAAUUUAUAAUUUUAUAAUUGCUGUCAUAUUUUUUAAAGUGCAAUUGAAUAUUUAUUGCAUGAUUUAUAUUCAUGUAAAAAGUUAGAAGAUACCCAGAGGGAUAAUCAACCACCAGUGCAUCAUUUACAUGUCACGGAACAAGGCAAAAAGAAGGAAAAAAACGUCCUUUUCAGUCCAAAAAACACUACACAUAUUUUUGCUUUCUUAAUUUAUCUGAAUAAAAAAAACUAUAUCUUUCUAGUAUUUUUUUCCAACCCUUAUCCUGACAGGUGUAGAAAAUUAACGGGUGUCUUCUAUUCCGUCCGCAAUUUUAGGGAAAGUAAAGUCUAUAUUUAGAAUCAUAGUUGAAACUGAAACUACAUAUGUAUGAUAUAAAUAGAACAUGUCAUUUUCGCUUUAUCAAAUUAAAAUUUCGAAGGGAUAGCAAAAUUUGUUAUUUUCUUUUGUUGUGCAUUUGUCAUGUUAA